GAGGAGAAGGAUCAUAAGGCUGGAGGCUGUAACAAGAAACAGGCUCAGAUGAAUGCAGCUGCCAUCUCUACCAAGCCAUCCCCAGGAGACUGGCUCAUACUUCAAAUGUGGAAAGGAGGACCACUGGUCCAGAGACUGCCACUGAAGUGGAAACCGCCCAGAGCUCUGUCCCAAUUGUCAACAGGAAGGCCACUGGAAACAGGGCUGCCCAGGAUGUCAAGCCACAAAACAGCUCCCUGCCUUCCAGUCUCCAAAGGACUCAGAGUGCUAGGACCCAUGGUUCAGUUUGGCUCCCUCCCUCUCCAUCACCAUGGCUGAAUCCAGUGGUGUGAUAGAUGUGGUGGACCCCUGGAAUACUACAGUGGACUCGAAAUGCCAACUUUCAACUCUCCAGGACUGUGGCCUAUGGAGAGAACCUUACCAACUGUUGAUUAACCCAGUACCCCUUGCAGGCUCUCUUAAGACUUUCUUCUCCUUAGAUAUCUGGUGGUAUUCCCUCAUACCCCCUUUGCUUUCACUUUUGCUUCUUUUGCUAUUUGAUCCUUGUCUGUUUAAUUGCUUUGUUAAAUUUGCGGCAUCUUGGCUUUCCCAGUUUCAGUUCUAGAUGGUGGCUAUUGAGCGACAAGUACACCUCUAACCACUGGACACGAUUUCUGUUGCCUUCCAUUCUCAGAAGCCUUGUGAUCAUUCCUGUCCCACUUAAUUAGUUUCAGAAGGCUGACCUUCAUCUCUAUCCUGGUUCUGGACCCUGUAUUAUUUGGAGUGGGGAAUGAUGUGGGCUGAAAUAUCCCCAAACUCCGCCAAGUAGCUGAAUACAAUCAAAAGAAAAUAGAAACAAUAACUAAUUGCUUUGGAUGGGGCUACAUAUGAGUUGCUGAGAUUCACAAUUAUGAGAAAACUCCUCACAUUGAACUUUAGAUAUAAUGUAGGUUGUUGGGGGUCUCUGAAGAGCAAACACAGGUGGUUUAGUUCCCCAGUCACAUAGCACUAGGGUCAAACAAUACUCAAUUUCCACAAUCACUGCCUUCUUUAGAGUCCGUGCAAAAAAAGAGCAAAAUUUGGCCUAAAGUUGCCCCAGGAUAUUUAACUUAUCAUUAGCAUCCCAUUUACAUUGUUCCUCUUGAAUGAACAAAGAGUGAACCAUGGUUAAAGCCAUGCAGAACAAAGUGGACCAUGAGUAAAGUGUUGUCAGUUCCCUGUUGACACAAAUGAUCCCUUUCUUUGUAACUGAGAUAAAAAGCCUUCCUAAGAACUCCUACUCACCUUUUACUCUUACCUUUUACGCUCACACUCUCCCUUUCCUUACCGUUUACUUACAAUUACUAUAUGCUAGCUACUCUGUUACUAGAUUUUCUUAUAAUAAAGCUGGUUUCCUUGAAAUUGAG